rnacentral:lncRNA from 1 species
AAUAACCUCCAACUUCAUGUGCCCAUUCCACAAGUUAAGGGAAAAAGUAAUCUCUGCCAAUUCUGGAUUUAUAUGAUGCAUUGAUAAAUUAGGAAAUAAAAGGCCAUGAGGUAAGGUUGCUAAAAAAUCACAAUGAAUCAAAAGUAAUUUACCUCUCCAGGAAGGCUAAAUUGCCAAGAGCACAUGUUUCCUCUAAAGCACCAAAAACCAGAAGGCAUAUUUGUUGACAAGUUGCAGUACUGCCUCAAGAUCUUAGUUCAACUACAAUAUAAAGCAAGCAUUCAGCAGAAGAAAUCAAAAGCUUACUUGUUCCUCGUUUUCAGCAGAAGGGAAUCUCUACUUACUCUGCCUAUGUCAUGAGCACCAAUACCAAAAACUAAACAAUGAAGCUAAAUGAUGUCCAUCACUGAUCC